rnacentral:rRNA from 1 species
GACGAACGCUGGCGGCGUGCUUAACACAUGCAAGUCGAACGGAAAGGCCCUGCUUGCAGGGUACUCGAGUGGCGAACGGGUGAGUAACACGUGGGUGCUCUGCCCUGCACUUCGGGAUAAGCUUGGGAAACUGGGUCUAAUACCGGAUAGGAACCAUCUUUAGUGUGGUGGUUGGAAAGUUUUUUCGGUGUAGGAUGAGCUCGCGGCCUAACAGCUUGUUGGUGGGGUAAUGGCCUACCAAGGCGGCGACGGGUAGCCGGCCUGAGAGGGUGUACGGCCACCUUGGGACUGAGAUACGGCCCAGACUCCGACGGGAGGAAGAAGUGGGGAAUAUUGCACAAUGGGCGCAAGCCGGAUGCAGAGACGCCGCGUGGGGGAUGAAGGCCUUCGGGUUGGAAACUCCUUUCGCUAGGGACGAAGCUUUGUUGUGACGGUACCUAGAUAAGAAGCACCGGCUAACUACGU